rnacentral:rRNA from 1 species
CCUACGGGAGGCUGCAGUGGGGAAUUUUGGACAAUGGGCGCAAGCCUGAUCCAGCCAUGCCGCGUGCGGGAAGAAGGCCUUCGGGUUGUAAACCGCUUUUAGCCGGGAAGAAAAGGCACGGGUGAAUACCCCGUGUUCUUGACGGUACCGGCGGAAUAAGCACCGGCUAACUACGUGCCAGCAGCCGCGGUAAUACGUAGGGUGCGAGCGUUAAUCGGAAUUACUGGGCGUAAAGCGUGCGCAGGCGGUUCGCCGUGUCCUGUGUGAAAGCCCCGGGCUCAACCUGGGAAUGGCAUGGGAAACUGGCGGGCUGGAGUGUGGCAGAGGGGGGUGGAAUUCCGCGUGUAGCAGUGAAAUGCGUAGAGAUGCGGAGGAACACCGAUGGCGAAGGCAGCCCCCUGGGCCAACACUGACGCUCAGGCACGAAAGCGUGGGGAGCA